GGGGGUAUAGCUCAGUGGUAGAGCAUUUGACUGCAGCUCAAGAGGCCCCCGGUUCAAAUCCGGGUGCCCCCU
rnacentral:tRNA from 1 species